GCAUAUCAAUAAGCGGAGGAAAAGAAACCAACCGGGAUUGCCUCUAGUAACGGCGAGUGAAGCGGCAAGAGCUCAAAUUUGAAAGCUGGCUCCUUCGGGGUCCGCAUUGUAAUUUGCAGAGGAUGCUUCGGGAGUGGCCCCCAUCUAAGUGCUCUGGAACGGGCCGUCAUAGAGGGUGAGAAUCCCGUAUGGGAUGGGGUGUCCGCGACCCAUGUGAAGCUCCUUCGACGAGUCGAGUUGUUUGGGAAUGCAGCUCUAAAUGGGUGGUAAAUUUCAUCUAAAGCUAAAUAUUGGCCGGAGACCGAUAGCGCACAAGUAGAGUGAUCGAAAGAUGAAAAGCACUUUGAAAAGAGAGUUAAAAAGCACGUGAAAUUGUUGAAAGGGAAGCGCUUGCGACCAGACUCGCCUACGGGGUUCAGCCGGUAUUCGUACCGGUGUACUUCCCCGUGGGCGGGCCAGCGUCGGUUUGGGCGGCCGGUCAAAGGCCCUCGGAAUGUAACGCCUCUCGGGGCGUCUUAUAGCCGAGGGUGCCAUGCGGCCAGCCCGGACCGAGGAACGCGCUUCGGCACGGACGCUGGCAUAAUGGUCGUAAGCGACCCGUCUUGAAACACGGACCAAGGAGUCUAACAUCUACGCGAGUGUUCGGGUGUCAAACCCGUGCGCGCAGUGAAAGCGAACGGAGGUGGGAACCCUCACGGGUGCACCAUCGACCGAUCCUGAAGUCUUCGGAUGGAUUUGAGUAAGAGCGUAGCUGUUGGGACCCGAAAGAUGGUGAACUAUGCCUGAAUAGGGCGAAGCCAGAGGAAACUCUGGUGGAGGCUCGCAGCGGUUCUGACGUGCAAAUCGAUCGUCAAAUUUGGGUAUAGGGGCGAAAGACUAAUCGAACCAUCUAGUAGCUGGUUCCUGCCGA
rnacentral:rRNA from 1 species